UACAGAGGUCCCAAGCGUUGUUCGGAAUCACUGGGCGUAAAGGGUGCGUAGGCGGUAGUGUAAGACUUAGGUGAAAUCUCCAUGCUUAACGUGGAGCUCGCCUGGGAGACUGCAUUACUUGAGGAUUGGAGGGGAGACUGGAAUUCUUGGAGUAGCAGUGAAAUACGUAGAUAUCAAGAGGAAGACCAGUGGCGAAGGCGAGUCUCUGGACAGAUACUGACGCUGAGGCGCGAAAGCUAGGGGAGCAAACGGGAUUAGA
rnacentral:rRNA from 1 species